rnacentral:lncRNA from 1 species
CUGUGGGAUCAGAGGAGGUUCAGUUUACACACACAACCUAAGAGUGUGGAAAGCCCUCAGAAAGCCUCUAGAGAGAGAGAGAGACAGCCAGAGCGCCAAGGGAACAGAAGACCAGAAGAUGCUCUGCCCAGCCCAGGCCUGUGAGAAGAUCCAGGAGACGGAGAACCACCCACUUUGGGUAUUGGCCAACACUCCGUCUUCCCUAGCCACAGUCGCUCUUGCCACCCCUUGGAAGCUGGCGGCCUCCAGUUACACUGCCCAGGAGUUUGGAAAUUGCCUGUCUCUGCUAGUCUGAAUCCCACCUGCCUUCUAGCUCACUGAGCUGGUUGCUCCCUGUGAAUGUCGGCUGCCAGCCGGGCAGUCAGGAUGCAUAGGAACUUGAAGAGAGGGCAGCGGCUUCCCGGAUCAGAGCCUCCGCCCAGACUUCCAGCCAAGGCCCCAGAACUCCCAGGACCUGGAGGGUUUUUUCUCCUGGUUGUGUUUGGAAUUGGCUGGUUUUUCUGGGCAUCAGGCCCAGCUCAGUUUAAUUUUUGUUUAUUUUUAUGUACAGAUUCUCUUCUGUUUGGGGAAGAGCUUUGUGUAAAUUAUUAUUAUUUAUAUGAUAAAGAAUAAAUCACACCAAAUAAAAAAACCCACAA